UAUUAAAACAGGCCGAAUCUCCGGAAAUUCCGGAGUACGGGGGACAAAAAUUAAUGGGGUGAAUCCGUAACUUUUUCGGAGGUGCAAAAAAGUACGGUAGGGUGCCCUCAACCCGAACCCGUCAGCUAACCUCGAAGGCCAGAGGAGGGUAAAA
rnacentral:sRNA from 2 species